rnacentral:rRNA from 1 species
UAUUGGACAAUGGGGGGAACCCUGAUCCAGCGACGCCGCGUGAGUGAAGAAGUAUUUCGGUAUGUAAAGCUCUGUCAGCAGGGAAGAAAUCACGACGGUACCUGACCAAGAAGCCCCGGCUAACUACGUGCCCGCAGCCGCGGUAAUACGUAGGGGGCAAGCGCUAUCCGGAAUUACUGGGUGUAAAGGGAGCGUAGACGGUUAAGUAAGUCUGGAGUGAAAGGCUGGGGCCCAACCCCGGGACUGCUCUGGAAACUAUUUAACUUGAGUGCAGGAGAGGUAAGCUGAAUUCCUAGUGUAGCGGUGAAAUGCGUAGAUAUUAGGAGGAACACCAGUGGCGAAGGCGGCUUACUGGACUGUAACUGACGUUGAGGCUCGAAAGCGUGGGGAGCAAACAGG